UUUUAUUUGAGAGUUUGAUCCUGGCUCAGGAUGAACGCUGGCGGCGUGCCUAACACAUGCAAGUUGAGCGAUUUACUUCGGUAAAGAGCGGCGGACGGGUGAGUAACGCGUGGGUAACCUACCCUGUACACACGGAUAACAUACCGAAAGGUAUGCUAAUACGGGAUAAUAUAUUUGAGAGGCAUCUCUUGAAUAUCAAAGGUGAGCCAGUACAGGAUGGACCCGCGUCUGAUUAGCUAGUUGGUAAGGUAACGGCUUACCAAGGCGACGAUCAGUAGCCGACCUGAGAGGGUGAUCGGCCACAUUGGAACGGAGACACGGUCCAAACUCCUACGGGAGGCAGCAGUGGGGAAUAUUGCACAAUGGGCGAAAGCCUGAUGCAGCAACGCCGCGGGAGUGAUGAAGGCCUUCGGGUCGUAAAACUCUGUCCUCAAGGAAGAUAAUGACGGUACUUGAGGAGGAAGCCCCGGCUAACUACGUGCCAGCAGCCGCGGUAAUACGUAGGGGGCUAGCGUUAUCCGGAUUUACUGGGCGUAAAGGGUGCGUAGGCGGUCUUUCAAGUCAGGAGUGAAAGGCUACGGCUCAACCGUAGUAAGCUCUUGAAACUGGGAGACUUGAGUGCAGGAGAGGAGAGUGGAAUUCCUAGUGUAGCGGUGAAAUGCGUAGAUAUUAGGAGGAACACCAGUUGCGAAGGCGGCUCUCUGGACUGUAACUGACGCUGAGGCACGAAAGCGUGGGGAGCAAACAGGAUUAGAUACCCUG
rnacentral:rRNA from 1 species